GCGCCCGUAGCUCAGUUGGAUAGAGUGUUGGCCUCCGAAGCCAAAGGUCGGUGGUUCGAAUCCACUCGGGCGCGCCA
rnacentral:tRNA from 1 species